GAUGAACGCUGGCGGCGUGCCUAAUACAUGCAAGUCGAGCGAACGGACGAGAAGCUUGCUUCUCUGAUGUUAGCGGCGGACGGGUGAGUAACACGUGGAUAACCUACCUAUAAGACUGGGAUAACUUCGGGAAACCGGAGCUAAUACCGGAUAAUAUUUUGGACCGCAUGGUUCAAAAGUGAAAGACGGUCUUGCUGUCACUUAUAGAUGGAUCCGCGCUGCAUUAGCUAGUUGGUAAGGUAACGGCUUACCAAGGCAACGAUGCAUAGCCGACCUGAGAGGGUGAUCGGCCACGCUGGAACUGAGACACGGUCCAGACUCCUACGGGAGGCAGCAGUAGGGAAUCUUCCGCAAUGGGCGAAAGCCUGACGGAGCAACGCCGCGUGAGUGAUGAAGGUCUUCGGAUCGUAAAACUCUGUUAUUAGGGAAGAACAUAUGUGUAAGUAACUGUGCACAUCUUGACGGUACCUAAUCAGAAAGCCACGGCUAACUACGUG
rnacentral:rRNA from 1 species